rnacentral:rRNA from 1 species
AACGAACGCUGGCGGCAGGCCUAACACAUGCAAGUCGAACGCUGUAGCAAUACAGAGUGGCGCACGGGUGCGUAACGCGUGGGAAUAUACCCUUUAGUGCGGAAUAACGUCUGGAAACGGACGCUAAUACCGCAUAAUGACUCCGGUCCAAAGAUUUAUCGCUAAAGGAUUAGCCCGCGUUAGAUUAGCUAGUUGGUGAGGUAACCGGCUCACCAAGGCGACGAUCUAUAGCUGGCUGAGAGGAUGAUCAGCCACACUGGGACUGAGACACGGCCCAGACUCCUACGGGA